GCUCCGGCCUCUGGAGAAGGGCAACUACAAAAACGCUCCCGGCGAUUCCUUUGUCAUCCUCAGAGAGUUGAGUUGAUGAUACUCCUCCUCUCAUGGACAAUAUCAGCCUUGCUCCUUGGUCUCCUGAUUCAUAACCCCCUGCACUGCCUCUCCUCCCCCCAACACACACAGUCCAGCAUCCUCGUGUGUUCAGCGAAUGUCCUCCAUUUAUGGGAGUUGUAAACUGUGUCUAUGUAGACAAGAAGCAUCGCCUAUUCCUUCAGUAGAUUACAACGUAUGGGAGAAGUUGGCCAUGUGGCUGCUUGCUGCUUGCCUGGUGUUCAGAGCUGAGACCUCCUGAACUCCCCGAGCAACCAUCGAGUAGCUGGCCUGAGGUUACUGGGAGGGGGCCAGUGUCUGGUGGACCCUCGCUUGCACCCUGAAAUAAAGACCAGCGUAUUAUUGAGGCCUUGCCGUUUCACAUGCAGCUCAGGCCAUGGCAG